UACGUAGGGGGGCUAGCGUUGUCCGGAAUCAUUGGGCGUAAAGAGCGUGUAGGCGGCUUGGUAAGUCCGCUGUGAAAGUCCAGGGCUCAACCCUGGAAUGCCAGUGGAUACUGUCAAGCUAGAGUCCGGAAGAGGCGAGUGGAAUUCCUGGUGUAGCGGUGAAAUGCGCAGAUAUCAGGAGGAACACCAAUGGCGAAGGCAGCUCGCUGGGACGGUACUGACGCUGAGACGCGAAAGCGUGGGGAGCAAACAGG
rnacentral:rRNA from 1 species